UAAGCCCAUUUCAUCAGCCAAAAUUGCACUAUAUCCACAUUUUCCUUCCAUUCCUAAUAAACAGUCGUAAAGAAAGGAAACUCCUUCCCGCUGAUGAGAAUAAAGAUGCUUUGAAAGGAAAGGAUCAAUAACAACAUCUACAUGCGUCCUGUAAUGUUAGAUCAAGCAUUCACUUUUACCAUACCUUGGAUCCCAAGUCUUGGGCCUGCUCAUCACCAAAGCUCCAAGCACAGUAGGAUCAUGCCUCGGUUUGGGUAGUGCUGAUAUUGUCUGGUACAUUGUGUUAGGUCUCAAAGGUGGCUUGAAUUUACGCUUCAUUUCAGGCAUAUGAACGUCUCGGAGAGAAUCAUCUAUAUGUGUGCCUGCUUCAUAACUUUCUGCAGAGAUUUCCUUCUCAAUCUAAAGAUGAUGAGAAACAUUCGCUUACAUGUAUAUCUUACAGAUAUUUCUUUCCCGGAAAUGCGAAGCAAUUCUCCUUCUUUGAUUUGUGGCACCCUCGAAUGACAGGAUCC